CGGCAUUUCUACCAAGCUUCUCCCAUAGCAAUGGAAUUCAACAAAUGGUGCAGGGAUCCUUUGACAUUCAUUCUCCCAGCCACCCACCCCAGCCACCCAAAACCUAAAACUAUAAAACUUCUAGAAGAUAACACAGGACAAAAACCUUUGUGAUCUUAGGCUAGGCAAAGAUUUCUUAGGGCACAAAGAGUACAAAACAUAAAAAGGAAAAAAAAAAAGAUAAACUAUAUUUCCUUAAAACUGAAACAUUUACUUCUUGAAAGAUAAUGUUAAUAAAAUGAAAAAGCAAACCACAGGCUGAGAGGAAAUAUUUGGAAAACAAAUAGAUGAUAAAAAACUGAUGACCAGGAUAGGUAAAGAACUUUCACAGCUGAAUAAUAAAAAGACAAACAAGCCGUAUAACCCCACCAUUCUACUCCUGGACAUUUACCCAAGAAAAAUGAAAACACGAGUCUACACAGAAACCUGUACAUGAAGGACACAUUAUUACGCUUAGAUAGGAGGAACACAUUUCAAGAGAUCUGUUGUAUAGCAAUGUGACUACGGUUAAGAAUAAUAUACUGUAGUAUUUUUUUAAAAUGUAGAGAGUGGAUGUUAAGUGCCCUUACCACAAAGAGUUAACUAUGUGACACAAUGCAUUUGUUAGAGUUAACCAUUCCACAGUGCCUAUAUACUUCAAAAUGCCAUGUUGUACACAGUAAUAACAUAUAAUGAUGAUAUCUGUCAAUUAAUUUCUGAAAAAAGUAAAACUAUGGAGACAAUAAAAUGAUCAGUAGUUGCCACAGGUUGGGGUAAGGGAGGGAAGAAUAGGUAGAACACAGAAAAAUUCUAAGGCAGUGAAACUACUCUGUAUGAUGUUAUAAUGGCAGGUAUUUGUCAUUACACAUUUGUCAAAACACAGAGAAUGUACAACACCAAGAGUGAACCUAAGGAAAACUACAGACUCUGGAUAUCUAGCAGCUGUCGAGGGACCAGGUCGAGGGACCUGGAAGGGGUUGCUGGCUGAUGACUGGGUGCCUGCUGAGAUGGGCUCCAUAUACAGCAAUUCUGUUCUAGGAACUCAAAGAAUAUUAAUUCAAGGCUGGGUGUGGUGGCACACACCUGUAAUCCCAGCACUUUGGGAGGCCAACGCUGGAAGACUGGUUGAGCCUUGCAGUUCAAGACCAGCCAGGGCAAUAUACUGAAACCUCAUCUCUACAAAAAAUUAAAAAAUUAGUUGAGUGUGGUGGUGCAUGUCUGUGAUCCCAGCUGGUGGUAGGACUGCUUGAGCCCGGGAGGCAGAGGUUGGAGUGAACUACGAUCGUGCCACAGCA
rnacentral:lncRNA from 1 species